UACGAAGGGAGCUAGCGUUGUUCGGAAUCACUGGGCGUAAAGCACACGCAGGCGGCUGCGCGCGUGGGGUGUGAAAUCUGGCCGCUUAACGGCCAGGCGCCAUCCCAUACGGCGCGGCUUGAGCCUUGUAGAGGGCGGUGGAAUUGCCGGUGUAGUGGUGAAAUGCGUAGAGAUCGGCAGGAACACCCAGGGGGAAACCAGCCGCCUGGACAAGCGCUGACGCUGAGGUGCGAGAGCGUGGGGAGCGAACCGG
rnacentral:rRNA from 1 species